GGUUUCCGUAGGUGAACAGCGGAAGGAUCAUUA
rnacentral:rRNA from 1 species